rnacentral:rRNA from 1 species
AUUGAACGCUGGCGGCAGGCUUAACACAUGCAAGUCGAGCGGGGUGAUGGUGCUUGCACUAUCACUUAGCGGCGGACGGGUGAGUAAUGCUUAGGAAUCUGCCUAUUAGUGGGGGACAACAUCUCGAAAGGGAUGCUAAUACCGCAUACGUCCUACAGGAGAAAGCAGGGGAUCACUUGUGACCUUGCGCUAAUAGAUGAGCCUAAGUCGGAUUAGCUAGUUGGUGGGGUAAAGGCCUACCAAGGCGACGAUCUGUAGCGGGUCUGAGAGGAUGAUCCGCCACACUGGGACUGAGACACGGCCCAGACUCCUACGGGAGGCAGCAGUGGGGAAUAUUGGACAAUGGGGGGAACCCUGAUCCAGCCAUGCCGCGUGUGUGAAGAAGGCCUUAUGGUUGUAAAGCACUUUAAGCGAGGAGGAGGCUCUUUUGGUUAAUACCCAAGAUGAGUGGACGUUACUCGCAGAAUAAGCACCGGCUAACUCUGUGCCAGCCGCCGCAGUAAUAC